rnacentral:rRNA from 1 species
AACGCGAAGAACCUUACCUGGGCUAGACAACGGCGGACAGCCCUAGAAAUAGGGUCUUCCCUUCGGGGACCGCCGGUUCAGGUGCUGCAUGGCUGUCGUCAGCUCGUGCCGUGAGGUGUUGGGUUAAGUCCCGCAACGAGCGCAACCCUCGUCCUUAGUUGCCACCAUUCAGUUGGGCACUCUAGGGAGACUGCCGGCGUUAAGCCGGAGGAAGGUGGGGACGACGUCAAGUCAUCAUGGCCCUUAUGUCCAGGGCCACACACGUGCUACAAUGGGCGGUACAAAGGGUCGCAAACCCGCGAGGGGGAGCCAAUCCCAAAAAGCCGCUCUCAGUUCGGAUUGGAGUCUGCAACUCGACUCCAUGAAGUUGGAAUCGCUAGUAAUCGCGGAUCAGCACGCCGCGGUGAAUACGUUCCCGGGCCUUGUA